GCAUGACUGAAUACUGUGUUUUUUUUAUUCGUAAUCUACACGGCCAGACACCAUGCCACAGUAGCCUUUCUGUUUCAUGGACUUCCGGUGUGCUGUGUCUUCUUCAUGGCGUAUCAUCUGUAAAGGUGAACACAAAG